rnacentral:lncRNA from 1 species
AUCUUUAAUUUCCGAUUUUGACUUCAGUGAUGCAUGUUCAUAUAUAGUAUUCAUAUCUUUAUUGGCAAUAAUCACAAUUGAAAACUAUACCUUUUUCUCCCUCUCACAACAAGGCAAGUCAUUAAAAGGACCUUAUUGGCCAUAAUUUCUUUGGCCGGCCAAGUAAUUACAAAAGAUAAUGACCCCUUCAGUCUCUAGGAAACUCACGCCAUACUCUCCCUCUCUCACAAACCUUAAAACAUAUUUUAUACAUUCUUGCGUGAUACUUUGAAUAAAUAUUUUCUAAGUCUCACAAAUUACUUUGUCUACACAAAACUAGUCAUUCUCAUUAUCUCAAGUGAUCGUCAAGUCUUUCUUCUCAAUACGUAGUUCUUC